rnacentral:lncRNA from 1 species
UUUUCUCUGUAGCAAAUACAAAAACUUGGAACUACUUUAAUUCUAGUAUUUUCUAGCUCAGAAACUCCCCAUUUUGAGAAGCAAAGGUGAGAACCUUUAAUUUGAUAUUUGAGCACAAAAAUGAAUGAUCAGGAUUUGUGUUUUUGAAAGAGUGCAAUUAUGCUAGUGUGUUACUCACGGAAGUUAAUUUCUUUCUAGAGCUUCUGAAGCAUACAGUGGAAAGUGCAAUGAAUGAGAACUAAGAAGCAUAAAACCUAUGGAUCUCAUGAUGACUCUGAUAUAGCAGUCUUUUUUUUGUAAAAGGAAAAGGACUAACCACUUCAAACUUGCACAGGGACUCUCAGCAGAAACUUGUCUGUCAGCAGCGCACAGAAACAUUCAGGAACUCCUGGAGUUGCCUUUUGCUCUCUAAGAAUCUUAUGAAAGAAAGCAAAAUAGCUGCUGCUGA